rnacentral:rRNA from 1 species
GAUGAACGCUGGCGGCGUGCCUAAUACAUGCAAGUCGAGCGAACGGACGAGAAGCUUGCUUCUCUGAUGUUAGCGGCGGACGGGUGAGUAACACGUGGAUACCCUACCUAUAAGACUGGGAUAACUUCGGGAAACCGGAUCUAAUACCGGAUAAUAUUUUGAACCGCAUGGUUCAAAAGUGAAAGGCGGUCUUGCUGUCACUUAUAGAUGGAUCCGCGCUGCAUUAGCUAGUUGGUAAGGUAACGGCUUACCAAGGCAACGAUGCAUAGCCGACCUGAGAGGGUGAUCGGCCACACUGGAACUGAGACACGGUCCAGACUCCUACGGGAGGCAGCAGUAGGGAAUCUUCCGCAAUGGGCGAAAGCCUGACGGAGCAACGCCGCGUGAGUGAUGAAGGUCUUCGGAUCGUAAAACUCUGUUAUUAGGGAAGAACAUAUGUGUAAGUAACUGUGCACAUCUUGACGGUACCUAAUCAGAAAGCCACGGCUAACUACGUG